rnacentral:tRNA from 1 species
GGCUGGGUGGCUCAGUCGGCUGAGCGUCUGACUUCAGCUCAGGUCAUGAUCUCACGGUUUGUGAGUUCAAGCCCCACUUUGGGCU